CAGAGGGUGCAAACGUUGUUCGGAAUUACUGGGCGUAAAGCGCGUGUAGGCUGCUCAGCAAGUCGGAUGUGAAAGCCCUGGGCUUAACCUAGGAAGUGCAUUCGAAACUUCUGAGCUAGAGUUCUGGAGAGGAAGGCGGAAUUCUCGGUGUAGAGGUGAAAUUCGUAGAUAUCGAGAGGAACACCGGUGGCGAAGGCGGCCUUCUGGACAGUGACUGACGCUGAGACGCGAAAGCGUGGGGAGCAAACAGGAUUAGAUACCCUGGUAGUCCACGCCGUAAACGAUGGGCGCUAGGUGUCGCGGGCUUUGACCCCUGCGGUGCCGUAGCUAACGCAUUAAGCACCCCGCCUGGGGAGUACGGCCGCAAGGCUA
rnacentral:rRNA from 1 species